AGUUGUCUUGCUCGCAGGCUUCUACAACGGUCCGGAAGGGAACCGGGGAAGCCAUGCCAGAAAUAGAAAGGGGAAAAAGGGGGGAAAAUAAUAAUAAAAAAAAGCAGUGGUGUUUCCUUCCAUGAUCUCUCUUAAUUCGAUUUUUCUUCAUCCAAUCCUUUCUAAGUUCGAUAUCUUUUUCAUCAUUUAGCAAUCGUUUCUUACUUCGCUCGGUCUUAUCAAUACCAAGAAUCCGACCCUAUGGAGGCAAAUGCCGCUCUCUUUUGUCGGUUGGAUCGGUACUAUCUCUUUAAAUCGCUUUAGGGUUUCUUGGCAAGCAAUUCAUGUGGAUAUUUCUUUUUUCCUUUUUUUUUUAUUUGCAAAUUGCACAAUUUGAUCUCUAUUUUUUUGUGUAAAUAAUUACUAUUAUUACAAGAUGCUUUUGCCCAUGGUUGUGGUUUACGAUCUGAAAAAGAUUCCUAUUGUCAUGACGGGUUUCCAUUUUGGUGUUCUUUUGAAAAAGAUAGAGUUGAAUCGAUAAGAUGUUGUGUGUUUUAGCGUGUCAUUUUUGGUGGGAGCAAACGUUGUGAUGAUUUUGGGUUUUGGUGAAUGUUGAGAGUCUUCUGUUUGAUGUAAUGCCUUGCUGUCUAAAGGUCGACAGUGGUUUUUAGGGUAAGCCGAGAAAGAGACCAGCUGGUGGAUUCUUUUCUUUUUUCUUUGGUUGAUAUCUUUGGUAUUUGUGUGCACAUGUUCAUGAUGUGAAUGUUCUUUGAUAAGCUGAUCCUGAGAUGCGAUGCAUGAUUCUUCAUUAAUUCUUUUUUUUUUUUUUGGGAUGAUUCUUCCUCCUAUAAAGUAUUGUCAUCAUGGGGUUUGCACUUUGUAUUAAGUUAUUAGAGAAGCUCAAAUUGUGCUAUGAAAGCGCUCUUGGCGAAAAGUGGGUUCUUUUUCUUUAUUUCUGGCUAUUUAUUUGUCUCAGGUGUUAUAUUAGUCAAAUAGAACUAUAAGAAUCUUUCUCCAUUAUAACUGUGAUAACUUUCUGUGCUGGGUUUUAGGUUCUUAUUUUAUAACGAUGGAAUAAUUCUACUGUUCUGGGAGGUAAGUAGCAAUAAAUCUAGUGUCACUUGAGGUUACCUUAACAGAAGGCUCAUAUGUUUAGGCAAGUGUAAUAAUUACUAUAGAAAACACAUUUGAUACUGGUCGAGUCGGUAACUUUCAUAUUUUUGACUAUCAUAUUGUCUGCUAGGUAAUUAUUUAUGUUGUUAAAGCUUAAUCAGAGCGUGCUUACGGAUAUGAAAGUAAUCAAGGAUUCCUUUUCUUUUUCACUCCUUCGUGGAGCUCCACUUUUUAUUUGGUAAUGUGGAAGCUUCUUGUUUGAUUUGUGGAAUGUUUUUUCAUUGUUGACAGCGUGAUAUGACUGCAUCCAAUUGUCAUGGAUAUAAAAUUGUGCACCUUCAUAUUAAUCUCUGCCUGGUCUUGGGAACCCUGAAAGACUUGGUUUACUGCUCAAAAUGUGACAUUAAGCUGUAUCAAGUUUGAGAAUUCCAAGCUGCAAUUCUUAUAUUGAGAAUAUAAAAAUAUGGCUGCCAUUUUCUUCGCAGCAUCUAUAUUUGCACUUUCCAGUUUCAUCUUUCCCACAAGUUCCAGGGGGCAAAGGAAUUUUUUCUGUAGUUUUUUCUUCAUCUGGGGGACACAUUUAGCCUCACGGUUCAUUUGUUUCCUGUACAGUAAUUGAAAUUUCAGCAUAUAUCCAUUGUUGAUGCUGUUUGAUUUAUAUCUGAACGUAAUAUAAUGGCUGUAACAAAUUUAGGAAUUAUAGAUUACUCAGAUCAUUUUCUGGGUACUAAAUAAUGCAGAGCUGGCUGCUGCUGCGGUAUCUGCAGGAUCAGCAAUAGCUGCUCAAGUAGGGGCAGGUGCUCUUGGUGCUCUGGAGUUCGAGCAGUUGCGCUCGGUGCAACUGGUACAAUUGCAGUUGCUGCGCUGUUGCUGCAAUUGGUGCUACAGUGGCUGGAGGAUUGGCAGCAGAAAGUGGAAUAGCAGAAGAUGGUCCAACUCCAGCUGAUAAUAUGGGGAAGGAUUCCUACAAAAACCUCCUUCAAGAAGAGCCUUUCAAGUCAACAAUGGCCCGCUUUCAGAUUUUGUGCUUCCUUCUAUCUCAUAUAAAGAGGCAUCUAACAGUAAUGGAUUGCAUAAAGACCAAAGUUCAGUUGAUAUGGACUCAGCGAGAACAUUAGUGGCACCAGUAACAUGUGCACGUGUUGCUUCCCUUGGAAGUGUGAUAGAGUUUGGCAUCAAGAUCAGUUCACCGGGCUUACGUAGUUAAGGGUGAUGACCUGGAAGUUAUUGGUGUUGUGACACUGAAGGAUGUAGUCUCUUGCUUCGUCUAUGACCCCUUGAUCACUUUGACAGCUAUUUUGGGUUUGAUAUGAAGGAGAUGAUCAACCAGUUAGAUUUGCAUAUGUAGUAGAGUCAAAGCAAUGGUAUUGCAGCUGAAGACAGCAAAAGACAAUGUCCAAUUGCCAAUUAGUUUUAUGGUUAUGUUUUCCUUUUUUUUCUUCUUUUUAAUAUAUGUACUUGGAAGGCGGUACCUUCUGGAGUAUGAAUCUGUUAUGGAUAGUCUUCAUGUAAGGCAGCUCAGAGGUCCAUAAAAUGCAUUGUUCAACCAACUGAAAAAAAUCAAGGAAUUCAUAUAAACUUCCUGUUAAAUUAGUCAGAAA